rnacentral:rRNA from 1 species
AACGAACGCUGGCGGCAUGCCUAACACAUGCAAGUCGAACGAGACCUUCGGGUCUAGUGGCGCACGGGUGCGUAACGCGUGGGAACCUGCCCUUAGGUUCGGAAUAACUCCCCGAAAGGGGUGCUAAUACCGGAUAAUGUCUUCGGACCAAAGAUUUGUCGCCUUUGGAUGAGCCCGCGUUGGAUUAGCUAGUUGGUAGGGUAAAAGCCUACCAAGGCGACGAUCCAUAGCUGGUCUGAGAGGAUGAUCAGCCACACUGGGACUGAGACACGGCCCAGACUCCUACGGGAGGCAGCAGUGGGGAAUAUUGGACAAUGGGCGAAAGCCUGAUCCAGCCAUGCCGCGUGAGUGAUGAAGGCCUUAGGGUUGUAAAGCUCUUUUACCCGGGAUGAUAAUGACAGUACCGGGAGAAUAAGCUCCGGCUAACUCCGUG